CGUGGAAUUAGUAGGGUUCCAAGUAGCUCUAGGUAGCUAGCAGGCCUAGCUGGUUAGCAUAAUGGGCCUUCAGCGGGUGUCGCGCCUGAGGGGCCUGUUGGAGUUCUCGGGCAGAUUAUGUUGGUAUUCCAAUAGUAGGGGAUCUGCGGGGUUCCAUGCCCCGUACAGGUUGUAGAAGGCGUCCGGAUAUUGUAGCCCAGGAGUAUGCUUUGUGGUAGCACAGGAGCUCUGGCCAGGCUAGCUUCAAGCUGGAUGGAAACGCUAGCCUGGAGUAGUCAUCCGGGGUUGCGGUUAGCUAGUUGUGAAGAUCCAGAUGAAAAUGUUCAGUUUGCGGUGGGAAUCCGGGGAUAAAAAUAAUAGGGCCGUUAUGCUCUGGUUAGAGUCACGUUGUUCGAACUGGAGAGAGCUAUUCGAGCUUAACCUCUUCAACCUAUGGGGGCGCUAUGUCAUUAUUGCAUAAAAAAAACAUGCCCGUUUUAAGCGCAAUAUUUUGUCACGAAAAGAUGCUCGACUAUGCAUAUAAUUGGCAGCUUUGGAAAGAAAACACUCUGACGUUUUCAAAACUGCAAAGAUAUUAUCUGUGAGUGCCCCAGAACUCAUGCUACAGGCGAAACCAAGAUGAGACCUCAAACAGGAAAUGAGCUGAAUUUUUGAAGCUCUGUUUUACUAUCGUCUCCUUAUAUGGCUGUGAAUGUGCCGUGAACGAGCUUAUGCUCUCUGCCGUUCGUCCAAGAUGUCUGCAGCAUUGUGACGUAUUUGUAGGCAUAUCAUUGGAAGAUUGGCCAUAAGAGACUACAUUUGCCAGGUGUCCGCCCGGUGUCCUUUGUCUAAAUUGGUGCGCAAUUCUCAGUGGCACUCAUUUUACCAUGCGAUACAGAGGGAGAAGCACACUUCCAGGAACGAUACAUCAUUGAAGAGAUAUGUAGAAAAACACCUUGAGGAUUGAUUCUAAACAACGUUUGCCAUGUUUCAGUUGAUAUUAUAUGGAGUUAUUUUGGAAAAAGUUUUUAUAACUGAAUUUUUUAUUUUUUUUGGUAGCCAAACAUGACGCAGAAAACGGACCGAUUUCUCCUGCACAAAUAAUCUUUCAGGAAAACUGAACAUUUGCUAUCUAACUGAGUCUCCUCAUUGAAAACAUCCGAAGUUCUUCAAAGGGUCUUUGAAAGACAGGCACAUUGAAAAUGGAAGUGAUCUUUAUGCCAUAUUAACACCAAAAGAGAACUUGAAACAAGCUCCCCAAAUGCCACAGCAAGAGAUGACUGACAUCUCAGCAGAGGAUGAUGUUCGAUUCCACAUCAUGCUCGAGAGAUGAACACAGUGGUGUUGGACAAGCUUAGCAAGAUUCUGGAAUCAAUGAGGAGACAACGGUGCACCCUUCUAUGUCCUCCUUCCCAGAUGAGAAAACAGACAACAUGGAAUUCUACUUGAAUGAUGUUGUACCCUCAGUGCACCAAACGCAGAAAGGACUCUGUGCUUUCUUUUCUUCUCUUUAUGCUAUUGUGAGAUUCCACUACGUAUAAUGUCUUGUAACCAUUUAUUAAAACUUCAGAUAUUCGUAUUACCAUGUCCAGGCAGAGGGCUACGGUGCUCCUUUGCUUGUGUCAUUGGCUUUUCAAUGUACCUUGCCCCAUCUUGCAUUCAAUUAUUUCCCCUAAUAUCUCUGCAGAAAGUUAAACAUUCUGGUGAGGGAUUCAAGAAAGUGAAUGAAAACAUUCGAAAGCUCAGUGGAUGUAAUCCUCUGGCGCAACAUUUGUAUCAGCUGUUGGGCAGAAAUGAAAGUGGAGGUUGGACCCAGAAGGUGAUACAUAUUUUGUCACACAACUGUACCUUUCCCAUACAAUAUCAGGCAAAGGACUGACCCGAAAACAAAGAAACUUCUAAGACGAACUGACCUCAAGUCAGACACAACCAUGCAGAAAAUGGUGAUGGAGCAUCCCACAAAGGAAGAUCUGUAGACAAGUGUUUGAAAAUACAACACGGCAUCCAAAAUGCAUUUCUUCCUGCCAUAUGCAUUUUUGGGAGAAACAUGAUGAUGUUACCCAUUGGGUUAUUGAAUGGUAUGAGAUUUUCUAGAGGGCCUUCUUCUAUGCGGAGGUUGUAUCUACCCACUUCAUGGGUAACUAGCUAAGAUUUAUAUUAUGGUAAUUUCCUGUUAAACUAUGUUAUUAAUCAGUAGCAUUUUCUUUAUGUUAAAAUGAGUUGUAUGUCACAGUUGUCAUUAGACCAUUGUGAAAAUCAGAUAUCUAGGAGAUUCCCCAAUAUCUUGAUAUAGUGAUGUGGGCACUUUAAAAUAUGCAAAUUCAGUGAUGUGUGAGAUAAGUCGAGGGCCCACGUUAAUGACGGUGGUGGUGUUUUCAGUAGUUUACUUUAAUGAAACUUUACACGGUGAUUUGAAGAGGCAAUCUGCAGUUCAAACAAUAACAAACAUGACACCCCACCACUGAUAUUGUAAACAGCUGAGGGAUGGUGCUGGAGGUAUGUAACCACUCUCAAAUUCAUAGACAUGCAAAUACUGACCAUCCGUGAUAUCAAAAUCAUAGUUUUAAACAUGUUUGUUUAUGCUUUGUUUGUUUACACUUACAUUGGUUUACAAAAAAAUGGGAGUGAAAAAAGCUUGUAAUUUGGGUUCUGCCAGGGUAUGACAGUUGAACUAAGCACAUGAGACAUUUGUACGUUGUUUUCUUCUAGAAUCAAUGGUUAUAUAGUCAUUCAUUUAAAAGUCAAAAAAUGUAUGUAGCAAUUGCAGAUUGCCCUUUUAAAGAAUGAUAUGAUAUCAAUUUUAAAAAGUGAAGCAUAAACAUGAGUUAUGAUCCUGUU